GAUGAACGCUGGCGGCGUGCCUAAUACAUGCAAGUCGAGCGAAUGGAUUAAGAGCUUGCUCUUAUGAAGUUAGCGGCGGACGGGUGAGUAACACGUGGGUAACCUGCCCAUAAGACUGGGAUAACUCCGGGAAACCGGGGCUAAUACCGGAUAACAUUUUGAACCGCAUGGUUCGAAUUUGAAAGGCGGCUUCGGCUGUCACUUAUGGAUGGACCCGCGUCGCAUUAGCUAGUUGGUGAGGUAACGGCUCACCAAGGCAACGAUGCGUAGCCGACCUGAGAGGGGGAUCGGCCACACUGGGACUGAGACACGGCCCAGACUCCUACGGGAGGCAGCAGUAGGGAAUCUUCCGCAAUGGACGAAAGUCUGACGGAGCAACGCCGCGUGAGUGACGAAGGCUUUCGGGUCGUAAAACUCUGUUGUUAGGGAAGAACAAGUGCUAGUUGAAUAAGCUGGCACCUUGACGGUACCUAACCAGAAAGCCACGGCUAACUACGUGCCAGCAGCCGCGGUAA
rnacentral:rRNA from 1 species